rnacentral:misc_RNA from 1 species
AUUAACUCGAAACGCCGCGUAGAUAUGCAACCGGUGAAACUCAUCGCAUAUCGCGAGAACAGUUUCAUUUUGUACGUUGCACUGUGUGCCAAAGUGUUUCCGUGUGUGGUAAUUCUACGCAAGUUAAAUUUCACUGCCCUUUUCUAAUGAAAAAUACAAGCUCAGAUUCCUUAUAUGUGCGAUGUACGUAUAUCACACACAGAGAGAAGUGGACACAAGGAUUGUAAAAACGAAGCCUCUCAAAUUUUCUCGAGUACUGAAGCCAUCGAUAGCAUAUAGUCAAAAGACUGGGACGAAGACAGACCAUAAACAGUAGAGAGGCGUUUAUGAAGACGUUGUCUUCGGGGUUUUCAGUUAUAAG